rnacentral:rRNA from 1 species
UGGUGGAGUGAUUUGUCUGGUUAAUUCCGUUAACGAACGAGACCUCAGCCUGCUAAUUAGAGUCUGUUAGGCUUUGCCUAGCACGAAUCUUCUUAGAGGGACUAUCGGUGUGUAGCCGAUGGAAGUUUGAGGCAAUAACA